rnacentral:pre_miRNA from 1 species
AUUACUUGGGGGAAUCUUGUUAAAACGCAGAAUCCGAUUCAGUAGGCAUGGCUCAGGGCCCAGGAUUCUACAUUUUUAACAAGUUUCUAGGUAAUGCUGU